ACGCUGGCGGCACGCCUAACACAUGCAAGUCGAACGCAGUAGCAAUACUGAGUGGCGAACGGGUGAGUAUAAUGUAGGUAUCUGCCCUUUGGUUUGGAAUAACACGAGGAAACUUGUGCUAAUACCGGAUAAGCCUUCACAGGGAAAGCUUUAGCGCCAAAGGAUGAGCCUGCACUUGAUUAGCUAGUUGGUAAGGUAAUAGCUUACCAAGGCUACGAUCAAUAGCUGAUCUGAGAGGAUGAUCAGCCACAUUGGGACUGAGACACGGCCCAGACUCCUACGGGAGGCAGCAGUGGGGAAUCUUGCACAAUGGGGGAAACCCUGAUGCAGCGAUGCCGCGUGAGUGAAGAAGGCCUUUGGGUUGUAAAGCUCUUUCGUCGGGGAAGAAAAUGACUGUACCCGAAUAAGAAGGUCCGGCUAACUUCGUGCCAGCAGCCGCGGUAAUACGAAGGGACCUAGCGUAGUUCGGAAUUACUGGGCUUAAAGAGCUCGUAGGUGGUUAGAAAAGUUAGUGGUGAAAUCCCAAGGCUUAACCUUGGAACUGCCAUUAAAACUUUUUAACUAGAGUAUGAUAGAGGUAAGCGGAAUUUCUAGUGUAGAGGUGAAAUUCGUAGAUAUUAGAAAGAACACCAAUUGCGAAGGCAGCUUUCUGGAUCAUUACUGACACUGAGGAGCGAAAGCAUGGGUAGCGAAGAGGAUUAGAUACCCUCGUAGUCCAUGCCGUAAACGAUGUGUGCUAGACGUUGGGAAAUUUAUUUUUCAGUGUCGCAGCAAAAGCGUUAAGCACACCGCCUGGGGAGUACGACCGCAAGGUUAAAACUCAAAUGAAUUGACGGGGACCCGCACAAGUAGUGGAGCAUGUGGUUUAAUUCGAAGAUACGCGCAGAACCUUACCAACACUUGACAUGUUCGUCGCGACUCUAAGAGAUUAGAGUUUUCGGUUCGGCCGGACGAAACACAGGUGCUGCAUGGCUGUCGUCAGCUCGUGUCGUGAGAUGUUGGGUUAAGUCCCGCAACGAGCGCAACCCUUACUUUUAGUUGCCACCAUUAAGUUGAGCACUCUAAAAGAACUGCCAGUGAUAAGCUGGAGGAAGGUGGGGAUGACGUCAAGUCCUCAUGGCCCUUACGUGUUGGGCUACACACGUGCUACAAUGGUACCUACAGUGAGAUGCUAAGAUGCGAGUCUAAGCUAAUCCCUAAAAGGUACCUCAGUUCGGAUUGCACUCUGCAACUCGAGUGCAUGAAGCUGGAAUUACUAGUAAUCGUGGAUCAGCGCGCCACGGUGAAUACGUUCCCGGGUCUUGUACACACCGCCCG
rnacentral:rRNA from 1 species